CGACUUGUAUUUUUGGAUAGGUCGUACUGAGACGAGUUCAUAGACACGUAGUGGGCUCGAAUCGGAGUUGUAACGAGAGAGAUAUGGUCAAAAGAAGUCCAGUGGCACAAUCGUAAAUAUUUCGAAAUGGAAUUUUUUAUAUAAAAAUCUGGUUUUUCUCUCUCUCUCUCUCUCUCUCUCUCUCUCUCUCUCUCUCUCUCUCUCUCUCCCCCGCGGGUCUCUCUCUCUCCUCUCUCCCGCCGCCAGCCGCCGCGGAUUCGC
rnacentral:lncRNA from 1 species